GCCUUCCCUGUUGGUAGAGCAUGGUGUUUGCAACGCCAGGGUUGUGGGUUCGAUUCCCACGGGAGGCC
rnacentral:tRNA from 1 species